UAGCUCAGCUGGUAGAGCAGUACACUUUUAAUGUACGGGUCCUGGGUUCGAAUCC
rnacentral:tRNA from 1 species